GAAAGUGUUGAUGUACCUCAACAACGGGGAAGCUUGGAUUGCGGGGUGUUCUUGAUGGCGUACAUGUUUAGCCUCAUAUCCGGUCAACCAAUUGCAAUUGACCAAAAGGAUUGUGCAAGACAUAGAGCUCGUAUUGUUGCUCUAUUUCUAUUUGAAGGAAAUCAACCAACAUGAUCCUCAAGACCAAUUCCCCGGUUGCUACAUGCCAAUUGUGAUAUCCAAUAUUUUUUGUGUACAAAUAUAUUUUGGAAAUUGAUUUGUAAAGUAUUUGUAUAUAUAUAUAUGCCAAUGAUGCA